UACAGAGGUCUCAAGCGUUGUUCGGAUUCAUUGGGCGUAAAGGGUGCGUAGGUGGUGAUGCAAGUCUGGUGUGAAAUCUCGGGGCUCAACUCCGAAAUUGCACCGGAUACUGCGUGACUCGAGGACUGUAGAGGAGAUCGGAAUUCACGGUGUAGCAGUGAAAUGCGUAGAUAUCGUGAGGAAGACCAGUUGCGAAGGCGGAUCUCUGGGCAGUUCCUGACACUGAGGCACGAAGGCCAGGGGAGCAAACGGG
rnacentral:rRNA from 1 species